AUGACCCUGGAUCGGGCCCUGUCCCAGGCUCUGUGCAUGUCCCCAUUACUAUGUUGGUUUGUGUUCCUGUCUCUGACCCCAUCCCCGUCCCCGCGGGGUCCAGCUCCGCCUCUCCAUCCCCAUCCCCGUCACUGUCCCCUGUCCUGCUCCGUGUCCCCUUCGGGGUUGGGCUGUGUCUCCCUAUCCCCAUCACUACUGUCCCGCUCCGUGUCCCGUUCCAUGUCCCUGUCCCCGCAGGGUUCUCCCUCCAUUGUUCCGCUGCGUGUCCCCGUCAUUGUCCCCUGUCCUGCCCCCUGCCCCCUUGGGGGUUCGGCUGUGUCUCCCUAUCCCCAUCAUUGUCCCGCUCCGUGUCCCCGCCCCCGCGGGGUUCUCCCUCCGUGUCUCCUCACUGUCCGGCUCCGUGUCCCCUCGGGGGGCCGGCUCCGUCUCCCUAUCCCCAACGCUGUCCCGGGCCGCGGGGCCCGUACCGCGGAUGAGCUCCUGCAGGGCUGCGUAGCGCCGGUUACGCAGGCGGGUGCGGGAGGCCCUGCCCCGGGCGGCGGCCCCCCGCAGCACCUCGGCGCAGUAGAAGUCGGCCCGGUAGUCCCCGCGCAGGUGCUGGAAGCAGGCCAGGUGCUCCUCGCGGAGGCUGCUGCGGAAGCGCUCCAGGAAGACCAGGGGCUUGUCGCGGUAGAGGCGGCGCAGGAUGGCCACCUUCUCCCUCUCGGUGAAGUCGGGCUCGUCCUUCUGCUGGCUGCGCACGGGGAUGCGGCUGCCGGCCACGGCGCGCAGCAUGGCCCGGACGCCGGGGUCCUCCUGGACCUCCUCCUCGUCCUCCUCCUCGGCCUGGGCAGGGCCCUGCUUCUGGGGGGCCUGAGGGGGCUGCGCCCCGCUCGGCUCCCCCCAGUGCAGGGCGCCCCCUCCCAGGCCGAGCUCGGGGGCCGCAGAGGCUGCUGCUGCUGCUGCUGCUGCUGCUGGGGAACAGGAAUGACCACGCCUGCUGGGCGGGGCCGCCCCUCCCCCCGAGGCAGCCUGCCCUCCGGGCGCUUACACUCAGCAGGAGAGGCGGAACCUACGGCUCAGACCUGA
rnacentral:lncRNA from 1 species